rnacentral:rRNA from 1 species
AGAGUUUGAUCCUGGCUCAGGACGAACGCUGGCGGCGUGCUUAACACAUGCAAGUCGAACGAUGAACCACUUCGGUGGGGAUUAGUGGCGAACGGGUGAGUAACACGUGGGCAAUCUGCCCUUCACUCUGGGACAAGCCCUGGAAACGGGGUCUAAUACCGGAUAACACUUCCACUCUCCUGAGUGGAGGUUAAAAGCUCCGGCGGUGAAGGAUGAGCCCGCGGCCUAUCAGCUUGUUGGUGAGGUAAUGGCUCGCCAAGGCGACGACGGGUAGCCGGCCUGAGAGGGCGACCGGCCACACUGGGACUGAGACACGGCCCAGACUCCUACGGGAGGCAGCAGUGGGGAAUAUUGCACAAUGGGCGCAAGCCUGAUGCAGCGACGCCGCGUGGGGGAUGACGGCCUUCGGGUUGUAAACCCCUUUCAGCAGGGAAGAAGCGAAAGUGACGGUACCUGCAGAAGAAGCGCCGGCUAACUACGUGCCAGCAGCCGCGGUAAUACGUAGGGCGCAAGCGUUGUCCGGAAUUAUUGGGCGUAAAGAGCUCGUAGGCGGCUUGUCACGUCGGGUGUGAAAGCCCGGGGCUUAACCCCGGGUCUGCAUUCGAUACGGGCUAGCUAGAGUAUGGUACGGGAGAUCGGAAUUCCUGGUGUAGCGGUGAAAUGCGAGAA